GAGUAGGUACGUCUAAUUGGUAAGGCAGCCGGCUGUAAACCGGUCGAACUAUGUUCACUGUUGGUUCAAGUCCAGCCCUCCUCA